GGUAUAGUGGCCGAGACAGGCGGCGAGUUGUAGCCUCGCAGACCGGGAAGAGUCCCGCGAUACCAGGCC
rnacentral:tRNA from 1 species